rnacentral:rRNA from 1 species
CAGGGUGACAUUUACGGCCGGGUCCGACCUGAUCCCAUCCCGAACUCAGAAGUCAAAACGGUUCGUGCCGAUGAUAGUCAUACGCAUGUAUGUGCGAAAGUAGGUAGUUGCCCGCU